ACUCCUACGGGAGGCAGCAGUGGGGAAUAUUGCACAAUGGGGGAAACCCUGAUGCAGCCAUGCCGCGUGUGUGAAGAAGGCCUUCGGUUGUAAAGACACUUUCUAGUAGGGAGGAAGGUAGUGUAGUUAACACCUGCAUUAUUUGUACGUUACCUACAGAAGAAGCACCGGCUAACUCCGUGCCAGCAGCCGCCGGUAAGUACGGAGGGUGCGAGCGUUAAUACGGAAUUACGUGGGCGUAAAGCGCAUGCGAGGCGGCCUGUUAAGUCAGAUGUGAAACGCCCGGGGCUUAACCUCGGAAUUGCAUUUGAAACUGGCAGGCUAGAGUCUUGUAGAGGGGUUAGAAUUUCAGGUGUAGCGGUGAAAUGCGUAGAGAUCUGAAGG
rnacentral:rRNA from 1 species